CUUUUAUCAGAACUUUAGGAAAUGUUUUAAUGCUGUACUCUAUACCAAAUCAAAUUACAACAUAAUGCUAUCCAACCCAACAUUUCUCAACUUGGACUCAGUCCUGCAAUUCAAGCUUUCUCCAGGAUUUAUGACAUAUUCACUACGUUCCCACUGGCACCUUCAGAUAGGUACACAGCGAACAGCUUUCCACUUGUCAAUGCUUUGGAGACUUCUAAAAAUAAGCCCAAGAAUGGAAAUACCAACAAACUGGCAGAGCAACAAGUGGACCUGUCAGCCCUGAGCCUCAAAAAGCAAGUGGACAUCAGCCUUGGGAGAUGUGCCAGGGCUCCUGGUAAGAGCCACAGCUAAGUGCAGCUCUGAGCUGCUGGCUGCAGGGGAUCCCAAGACAGAGUCGAGAUGCAUCUGGAUCAGAUCACAGCUUGGUAAAAGGGAUAAAGACCUGCCCGCUUGCCUGCAUUUUGUCUAGCACAGAGAGGAAACAGCAAUAUGUUUGAGUCAUAGAGCCUAUAAAAUAGUGGUUUUGGGGAGAUAAUUGUACCUCUGUAACAUCCAGUUUGAGAGCAGUCACAGGUAGUCACUUCCAUGCCACAAUACUGGAGCUGUUAGCUCCACAGCUCACAAAGGGAGUGAGACAAUCUCCAACACAUCAAACACACCACACAAGUGCAAAAAUAUUUUAUCAACCAAUUAACCACAUAUUUAGAUUACCCAAAUUUUGUCUGUUAGACCAAACCAAACUAUACCUGAUAUUAUUCUAAUCACAUCUGGACUGCACCGUGUUGUUUCUGAAAAAUCCAGCACCAUUGUAUGUGAGUUUUUUUCCAUGUUAUUAUUGUGAUGGGUCUGUUCGCAGAUGUUGGGUUCCACUGUCUUGUUCAUUUCCGCACACGGCUUUUCAUCUCCUGACUUUGCCUUUGCUGUCUGUCAUAUUACUGUCCUCUCUUCUCCAGUAAAAAAAUGUAGUGUUUCCUGUACUGUAGAUAUAAGGACACAAAUAAGGGUGUCAGUAUUGCUCUCUGGGACAGACGCCGCCAGCCUUGGCUGCUCCAUCACCAUAACCUCAGCUGAACUGGCUGACUAAACAGCGCUGACAAUUGUUUUGCAUUAUAAGGCAGGAAAAAAAACAAAAACCUUCCGGCUCUAGCUCUGUAUAUUUAAAGUUGUGCUGAACAGCAAAGACACAGCAGAUAUUUCGUAUUCAGAAUCUCAGAGUGGCUCAGCUCCCCUCAAAGUUCAUUUGAUGCUAUGUUUUCAGAGAUAACAAGGUUAUUUUGCAAAGCACUGCAACAGUGUUGGCUACCUGCAGACUGGGUCCUCCAACUAACAUAUACAUUUGAGGAAGAACAUAGGGAUAAGGCUAAACCAUGCAGUGGGAGGCUCCUGACUCACCUUAAUAACCAUCUAGCAAGCAUCUUUGACUUGAAUCACCAACAACCCAGUUGUUAAGCUGCAACAGCUUGGGUUUCUUACAGCUGGUGCAAAGCAUUCUUACCAAACUCUCUGAAACAACCAAUCUCUUUUGAAAAGUGCUGCUAAUAGAAGUCUCCUAUGUCAACGUAACCAGAAGUAGGCACUGCAUGACCAUGGUGGUGCUCAGAGAUGUCACUGCAUUGAGUUUUACACUGAAUGCCAACCGUGAGCUGUGCCUCUAUAUAGAAUGCUGGAGGGGUAAAAGGAACAGCAUCUUUAUGCAGCAAGAUAACUGGAUGAGGCUGAAGUCCUAGAGAGACACAUCACAAAAUAGGUCACAGAGUAAGAGCAUGUCAUACUUAUUAAAAAAGAAUGGCCCACAGUCCACCAUGGUUUUUCUCAUACAUCGAUAUAUUUUUCUACAAUCACCAUAAGCAAAUCAUCUUUUUUUCGUCCCUUCAAACUCUGAAUUUCAAAAUAAUGAAAAUGAACUAUUAGUCAUCCAGUGUCUUCCAAGCUAAGUCUACUCAAUUUCCAAAGCAAGUACUUUUCUUCCUUCUUUUGUACUCUGCCAGCACUUCAGACAUAAUCUAGAACCUGAAGUCUUAUCCAAAGAGCUCAAGUAUCAUCAUCUAAU
ensembl:lncRNA